UUGAACGCUGGCGGCAGGCCUAACACAUGCAAGUCGAACGGUAACAGGAAGCAGCUUGCUGCUUUGCUGACGCGUGGCGGACGGGUGAGUAAUGUCUGGGAAACUGCCCGAUGGAGGGGGAUAACUACUGGAAACGGUAGCUAAUACCGCAUAACGUCGCAAGACCAAAGAGGGGGACCUUAGGGCCUCUUGCCAUCGGAUGUGCCCAGAUGGGAUUAGCUAGUAGGUGGGGUAACGGCUCACCUAGGCGACGAUCCCUAGCUGGUCUGAGAGGAUGACCAGCCACACUGGAACUGAGACACGGUCCAGACUCCUACGGGAGGCAGCAGUGGGGAAUAUUGCACAAUGGGCGCAAGCCUGAUGCAGCCAUGCCGCGUGUAUGAAGAAGGCCUUCGGGUUGUAAAGUACUUUCAGCGGGGAGGAAGGGAGUAAAGUUAAUACCUUUGCUCAUUGACGUUACCCGCAGAAGAUGCACCGGCUAACUCCGUG
rnacentral:rRNA from 1 species